UACGGAGGGUGCAAGCGUUGCUCGGAAUUAUUGGGCGUAAAGGGCAGGUAGGUGGUCUCAUUUGUCUGGGGUGAAAGCCUUGAGCUUAACUCAAGAAGUGCCCCAGAAACGGUGAGACUGGAGUCCUGGAGAGGGUCGUGGAAUUCCCGGUGUAGUGGUGGAAUGCGUAGAUAUCGGGAGGAACACCAGUGGCGAAGGCGGUUGCCUGGGGCUUUGCUGACGCUGAUGCGCGAAAGCGUGGGGAGCGAUCCGG
rnacentral:rRNA from 1 species